UGUGAUAAUUUCUACGUCGUUGACCAUCUCGGGGCUGACCUAGUCAGUUUCAAUAGGAGUCUGCUUCUAACCGUCUCUUGACCGAGACUAGCGACUUGUGCGCUAACUUUUGACUUGACCUCAAAUCAGGUAGGACUACCCGCUGAACUUAAGCAUAUCAAUAAGCGGAGGAAAAGAAACUAACAAGGAUUCCCCUAGUAACUGCGAGUGAAGCGGGAAAAGCUCAAAUUUAAAAUCUGGCGGUCUCCGGCCGUCCGAGUUGUAAUUUAGAGAAGCGUUAUCCGUGCUGGACCGUGUAUAAGUCUCCUGGAAUGGAGCGUCAUAGAGGGUGAGAAUCCCGUCUUUGACACGGACUACCAGUGCAUUGUGAUGCGCUCUCGACGAGUCGAGUUGUUUGGGAAUGCAGCUCAAAAUGGGUGGUAAAUGCCAUCUAAAGCUAAAUAUUGGCGAGAGACCGAUAGCGAACAAGUACCGUGAGGGAAAGAUGAAAAGAACUUUGGAAAGAGAGUUAAACAGUACGUGAAAUUGUCGAAAGGGAAACGGUUGCAGUCAGUCGCGUCCGCCGGGGAUCAACCUUGCUUUUGCUUGGCGUAUUUCCCGGUGGAUGGGUCAGCAUCAGUUUUGACCGCAGUUGAAAGGCUGGAGGAAUGUGGCACCUUCGGGUGUGUUAUAGCCUCCUGUCAUAUGCUGCGGUUGGGACUGAGGAACUCAGCACGCCGCAAGGCCGGGAUUCGUCCACGUUCGUGCUUAGGAUGCUGGCAUAAUGUCUGUAACCGACCCGUCUUGAAACACGGACCAAGGAGUCUAACAUGCACGCGAGUGUUUGGGUGGCAAACCC
rnacentral:rRNA from 1 species